rnacentral:rRNA from 1 species
GACGAGCGGCGGACGGGUGAGUAAUGUCUGGGAAACUGCUGAUGGAGGGGGAUAACUACUGGAAACGGUAGCUAAUACCGCAUAACGUCGCAAGACCAAAGAGGGGGACCUUCGGGCCUCUUGCCAUCAGAUGUGCCCAGAUGGGAUUAGCUAGUAGGUGGGGUAANGGCUCACCUAGGCGACGAUCCCUAGCUGGUCUGAGAGGAUGACCAGCCACACUGGAACUGAGACACGGUCCAGACUCCUACGGGAGGCAGCAGUGGGGAAUAUUGCACAAUGGGCGCAAGCCUGAUGCAGCCAUGCCGCGUGUAUGAAGAAGGCCUUCGGGUUGUAAAGUACUUUCAGCGGGGAGGAAGGCGUUGAGGUUAAUAACCUCAGCGAUUGACGUUACCCGCAGAAGAAGCACCGGCUAACUCCGUGCCAGCAGCCGCGGUAAUACGGAGGGUGCAAGCGUUAAUCGGAAUUACUGGGCGUAAAGCGCACGCAGGCGGUCUGUCAAGUCGGAUGUGAAAUCCCCGGGCUCAACCUGGGAACUGCAUUCGAAACUGGCAGGCUAGAGUCUUGUAGAGGGGGGUAGAAUUCCAGGUGUAGCGGUGAAAUGCGUAGAGAUCUGGAGGAAUACCGGUGGCGAAGGCGGCCCCCUGGACAAAGACUGACGCUCAGGUGCGAAAGCGUGGGGAGCAAACAGGAUUAGAUACCCUGGUAGUCCACGCCGUAAACGAUGUCGACUUGGAGGUUGUGCCCUUGAGGCGUGGCUUCCGGAGCUAACGCGUUAAGUCGACCGCCUGGGGAGUACGGCCGCAAGGUUAAAACUCAAAUGAAUUGACGGGGGCCCGCACAAGCGGUGGAGCAUGUGGUUUAAUUCGAUGCAACGCGAAGAACCUUACCUACUCUUGACAUCCAGAGAACUUUCCAGAGAUGGAUUGGUGCCUUCGGGAACUCUGA